CCUGGCAACACAGCGCUGUGCAAAACAACACCAGGGCACCACAAAGAGCUGCAGAACGCAGUGCGAUAUCCAACUGCAAAUACGUUGACAGCGUUUACUGGUGAUGCAGCUACUUCUGUUUUGUGAUAGUAAUGUAACACAAAAUACAUGAUUCCUCCUGAGCGUGAUGCAUACAGGUUGAAGGUUUACUGUGUAGAUGCUGAUCUACAUACACAUCAUUAUACUGUAUAUGCUAAGCCCUAAUGUAAAUGAAUGGUGCCUUGGUGUUGAAGGGAUGAAUCCAUUGCUCUUCAAAGCUUGGUAUCUUAUGUAGGACAGUUUUAAUCAACACGAUAUUAUUGUCAUUAACUCGGUUAACCACGAAACAAGAGUCGCCGGACAUGUCGCCCCCCCCCCCCACCGUAUAUUUUGAAUAUGUUUAUGGUGCACAGAAAUGACAUUCAGCUGUGGUACUGGUAUUGUGCACUGCAUGAAGACAUUCCACUAGCCUGCAAGCAGCUGUCAUGUAACAGUGCUCUCCUGGGCAUCCUCCGCUGUUUGUGUGGAGCACACUGCACCUCAACAAUCCAUCAGUUUUGAGACAUUGACCUUCACUGCAGCAAUGAGGAGCAGAUUUUGCUGUUUAAGUCAAGCCACGCCCUGCAGAGGUGCUGCAGCCUAGGAGGCAGUGCAGCAUUCGCUAACUCUGCAUCCUCGGAGACGUGAAGCCCAAAAGAAGAGAGACAGAGAACGGGGAAUGAAUGAGGGCUUGGAAAUCUCAGGCAUUGACUCCAGAAGAAAGCACAGUAUAUGUGAAGAAGUAUCUGGGCUGUAUAUCCUCAGAUUUCAACUCUGAAGCCACAUAGGCUGUCGUUGUCGUUUGAUAGCACAAGAUGUUUGCCUAGAAUAUUUCAACUCGGGCAUUUUCUAGGUGAGUUCGUGCAGGGACGCCACCAGAGGACACAGGACACCUUUUACAUCCUCAAGGAGGCACUUGAAAUACAAAGACAUCUUGCAAAACAGCAAGACACCAUCGGCAACCAAUUCAACACCUCGUCAGUAUGAUAAAAUCCUAAAACCUACAGCAGAGUUAAUCAAGCCACAAGAUGCCCAUGGUCAACAGACCACAGCCUAAUAGAGGAUGACAGCUAAGGAGUUAACCGUGCAAGAACUGGAUACUGUGAAUCAGAGUGCUGAGCAACAAGUCUGCAGCCGUCAUGAAGUAAAUAACCACUGUGGGGACCGGACCUGCAGCUGUUAUUAUGCGUGGAAACCGCUAUAAAGAAACUAUAACAAAAUGUAGGAUGCUACCAACAUAUUUCUUCAAAGAAUGCAACAUAUCACUGUAGCUUUGCAAAAAGUAGUUUUUUCAUAAAUUACUUUGUUUUUGCAGUCAAAGGGUACUUAAAAUUUUGUGCCUCUGUAUUUCAGUUUUGUUGUUAAAACAAAAUUCCUAAGAAAGUUCCCCUUGUAGAUGGUAUCCAAUUUCCAUCUUCUGUAAAGGUGUGGUUUACAGCUGUUGUAAAAUGAUAAAGUCCCUGUGCAAGUA